UGUACUUCUUCCUUUGAAAUUUUCAAUAGCAUUCAUUUCGACACUCCCUAGAGAGACGGUGACGAUAGAAGGAACAGAACCCGAAUUGAUUUCAUCACCAAUUCCGACUCGCCAAAGCAAACCAAUUUACAUCACUUUCCGAGACUUCCUACACAG
rnacentral:misc_RNA from 1 species